rfam:Pseudomonas balearica DSM 6083 genome assembly, contig: Ga0056079_101
GGCUGGCCUAGCUCGACGGAGCGAAAAGCGGACUUCCCACCCGCCUGGUCAGCCGAUCUAUUUGGUAAGUG